GGUUAAGUGACUAAGCGUACACGGUGGAUGCCUUGGCAGUCAGAGGCGAUGAAGGACGUAGUAACUUGCGAUAAGCGUAGAUGAGGCAGUAACAGCCACUUGAGUCUACGAUUUCCGAAUGGGGAAACCCACUGGCAUAAGCCAGUAUCAUUGAGUGAAUACAUAGCUCAAUGAAGCGAACCGGGAGAACUGAAACAUCUAAGUACCCCGAGGAAAAGAAAUCAACCGAGAUUCCGAAAGUAGCGGCGAGCGAAAUUGGAUUAGCCCUUAAGCUUUACAUGUGUUAGACGAACGGUCUGGAAAGUCCGACGAUACAGGGUGAUAGUCCCGUAGUUGUAGACGCAUGUUCAGUGAAAUCGAGUAGGGCGGGACACGUGUUAUCCUGUCUGAAUAUGGGGGGACCAUCCUCCAAGGCUAAAUACUCCUGACUGACCGAUAGUGAACCAGUACCGUGAGGGAAAGGCGAAAAGAACCCCUGUGAGGGGAGUGAAAUAGAACCUGAAACCGUGUACGUACAAGCAGUAGGAGCACCUUCGUGGUGUGACUGCGUACCUUUUGUAUAAUGGGUCAGCGACUUAUAUUCAGUGGCAAGGUUAACCAUCUAGGGGAGCCGUAGGGAAACCGAGUCUUAACUGGGCGCCAUAGUCUCUGGAUAUAGACCCGAAACCGAGUGAUCUAGCCAUGGGCAGGUUGAAGGUUGAGUAACAUCAACUGGAGGACCGAACCGACUAAUGUUGAAAAAUUAGCGGAUGACUUGUGGCUAGGGGUGAAAGGCCAAUCAAACUCGGAGAUAGCUGGUUCUCCCCGAAAGCUAUUUAGGUAGCGCCUCGGACGAAUACUACUGGGGGUAGAGCACUGUUAAGGCUAGGGGGUCAUCCCGACUUACCAACCCUUUGCAAACUCCGAAUACCAGUAAGUACUAUCCGGGAGACACACGGCGGGUGCUAACGUCCGUCGUGGAGAGGGAAACAACCCAGACCGCCAGCUAAGGUCCCAAAUUACAGCUAAGUGGGAAACGAUGUGGGAAGGCUUAGACAGCUAGGAUGUUGGCUUAGAAGCAGCCAUCAUUUAAAGAAAGCGUAAUAGCUCACUAGUCGAGUCGGCCUGCGCGGAAGAUGUAACGGGGCUAAGUUGUAAACCGAAGCUGCGGCAAUGUUCUUUGAACAUUGGGUAGGGGAGCGUUCUGUAAGCCGUUGAAGGUGUGUUGUAAAGCAUGCUGGAGGUAUCAGAAGUGCGAAUGCUGACAUGAGUAACGACAAGGGGGGUGAAAA
rnacentral:rRNA from 1 species